AUUGAACGCUGGCGGCAUGCCUUACACAUGCAAGUCGAACGGCAGCACGGGAGCAAUCCUGGUGGCGAGUGGCGAACGGGUGAGUAAUACAUCGGAACGUGCCCAAUCGUGGGGGAUAACGUAGCGAAAGCUACGCUAAUACCGCAUACGAUCUACGGAUGAAAGCAGGGGAUCGCAAGACCUUGCGCGAAUGGAGCGGC
rnacentral:rRNA from 1 species